GAUGAACGCUAGCGAUAGGCUUAACACAUGCAAGUCGAGGGGCAGCAUGGUCUUAGCUUGCUAAGACUGAUGGCGACCGGCGCACGGGUGCGUAACGCGUAUGCAACUUGCCUCACAGAGGGGGAUAACCCGUCGAAAGACGGACUAAUACCGCGUACACUCCAUCUUGGGCAUCCAAGGUAGAGGAAAUGAAAUUCGCUGUGAGAUAGGCAUGCGUCCCAUUAGCUAGUUGGUGAGGUAACGGCCCACCAAGGCGACGAUGGGUAGGGGAACUGAGAGGUUGAACCCCCACACUGGUACUGAGACACGGACCAGACUCCUACGGGAGGCAGCAGUGAGGAAUAUUGGUCAAUGGGCGAGAGCCUGAACCAGCCAAGUCGCGUGAAGGAUGACUGUCUUAUGGAUUGUAAACUUCUUUUAUACGGGAAUAACAAGAGUCACGUGUGACUCCCUGCAUGUACCGUAUGAAUAAGCAUCGGCUAACUCCGUG
rnacentral:rRNA from 1 species